UACGAAGGGUGCAAGCGUUAAUCGGAAUUACUGGGCGUAAAGGGAGCGUAGGCGGCUUUUUAAGUCGGAUGUGAAAUCCCCGGGCUUAACCUGGGAAUGGCAUCCGAUACUGGGGAGCUAGAGUUUGGGAGAGGGUGAUGGAAUUCCCGGUGUAGCGGUGAAAUGCGUAGAGAUCGGGAGGAACACCUGUGGCGAAAGCGGCGCACUGGACCAUAACUGACGCUGAGGCGCGAAAGCUAGGGGAGCAAACAGG
rnacentral:rRNA from 1 species